rnacentral:rRNA from 1 species
UACGUAGGGUGCAAGCGUUAAUCGGAAUUACUGGGCGUAAAGCGUGCGCAGGCGGUUAUGCAAGACAGAUGUGAAAUCCCCGGGCUAACCUGGGAACUGCGCUUGUAACUGGCAAGCUUGAGUGUGGCAGAGGGGGGUGGAAUUCCGACGGUGUAGCAGUGAAAUGCGUAGAGAUGUGGAGGAACACCGAUGGCGAAGGCAGCCCCCUGGGCUAACACUGACGCUCAUGCACGAAAGCGUGGGGAGCAAACAGG